GACGAACGCUGGCGGCGUGCCUAAUACAUGCAAGUAGAACGCUGAAGCUUGGUGCUUGCACCGAGCGGAUGAGUUGCGAACGGGUGAGUAACGCGUAGGUAACCUGCCUGGUAGCGGGGGAUAACUAUUGGAAACGAUAGCUAAUACCGCAUAAGAGUAGAUGUUGCAUGACAUUUGCUUAGAAGGUGCAAUUGCAUCACUACCAGAUGGACCUGCGUUGUAUUAGCUAGUUGGUGAGGUAACGGCUCACCAAGGCAACGAUACAUAGCCGACCUGAGAGGGUGAUCGGCCACACUGGGACUGAGACACGGCCCAGACUCCUACAGGAGGCAGCAGUAGGGAAUCUUCGGCAAUGGACGGAAGUCUGACCGAGCAACGCCGCGUGAGUGAAGAAGGUUUUCGGAUCGUAAAGCUCUGUUGUAAGAGAAGAACGAGUGUGAGAGUGGAAAGUUCACACUGUGACGGUAUCUUACCAGAAAGGGACGGCUAACUACGUG
rnacentral:rRNA from 1 species